CUGGGAUAAUUGGGCUGUCGCUGCCAUAAGGGAGCUGUGUAAGCCGGGAGAGACGGAAAGGACGCGUGGCUGGCUGCCAGGAGGGCUGUCGUCCCCGCAGGAGGACUGGCAGUCAUGUCGCACUGACCCGCACCACGCAGCUAUUUCUGUUGGGCAGAAGCAUGCUCUCCAGGAAACAGACACUAUUUUCCCUUGCGAUCUCAGAUUGAUGGGAGCUCAGGUUCUUCCUGGGCGAUAUCAACUUUAUGAGCUAUUUACACAACCUCCUGGCUGUCUUAGCUGGAAAAUAGACAGAAGAGAGAAAAUCAAAUAUUUAAGUAGCAAAAAAGUCUCCAGCCCACAGUAAAGCUGCUUUUCUCACCGCAGAGCCACGCUGGCUCUGCCCCGUGCGCUACGAAGGGUGACCAGGCACCAGCAAGUGCAGCGUGGACCCAUUCCAGAUCUCAGCAUGACAAAUGAUGCCCUCAACGUGGGGGCCAGAAGACAAUGGUGAACUUGUGACACACUGGAUCCUAACCAACUUUGAUAGGACAAUAGAAAAAUUCAUAAAUAGAAAACGCAGAAUUGCUGGAAAAAGCAAUUUGUGAGAAAAUGUCAGAGGAUUCUGAGUGAUUUGACCCAAAAGAGAGAGGAAAUCUGCAUCGAGAGAAGCUUAAGAAAGACCUGGCUGAAGAAGAUUGCCCCGGUCUUUUGAUACAGCUCCAGCCUCAGCUGAGGCUGGAAAAGCCAAAGCCUGUUGCCUUUUGUGAUGUUCAGAAGCAAGCAAACUACU